rnacentral:rRNA from 1 species
ACCCCUUGAGAGUGGCGAACGGGUGAGUAAUAUAUCGGAACGUGCCCAGUCGUGGGGGAUAACGUAGCGAAAGUUACGCUAAUACCGCAUACGAUCUAAGGAUGAAAGCGGGGGACUCGCAAGAGCCUCGCGCGAUUGGAGCGGCCGAUAUCAGAUUAGGUAGUUGGUGGGGUAAAGGCUCACCAAGCCAACGAUCUGUAGCUGGUCUGAGAGGACGACCAGCCACACUGGAACUGAGACACGGUCCAGACUCCUACGGGAGGCAGCAGUGGGGAAUUUUGGACAAUGGACGAAAGUCUGAUCCAGCCAUUCCGCGUGCAGGAUGAAGGCCCUCGGGUUGUAAACUGCUUUUGUACGGAACGAAAAGGUCUCUAUUAAUACUAGGGGCUCAUGACGGUACCGUAAGAAUAAGCACCGGCUAACUACGUGCCAGCAGCCGCGGUAAUACGUAGGGUGCAAGCGUUAAUCGGAAUUACUGGGCGUAAAGCGUGCGCAGGCGGUUAUAUAAGACAGAUGUGAAAUCCCCGGGCUCAACCUGGGAACUGCAUUUGUGACUGUAUAGCUAGAGUACGGUAGAGGGGGAUGGAAUUCCGCGUGUAGCAGUGAAAUGCGUAGAUAUGCGGAGGAACACCGAUGGCGAAGGCAAUCCCCUGGACCUGUACUGACGCUCAUGCACGAAAGCGUGGGGAGCAAACA